rnacentral:tRNA from 1 species
GUGCUCGUAGUUUAACGGAUAAAAUAUUUGGUUGCGAACCAAAAGAUUUGGAAGUUCGAUUCUUCCCGGGCACA